rnacentral:piRNA from 1 species
AUGAAGAAACACUUUGUAGCCUGGUUCAUCC